UUUUAAAAAGAAAUAUGCAAUGAACAGAAUCUAAACAACUCAUUCAGUUCAACUCCAUGCAUACUAACAUCACUAACUGCUCAGGUAUGAUAACUCAUCAAUAACAAGGCAAUUAGGCUCUUUUUAUGAAUUUUAAAGACAAUAAACAGAGACUAAACAACUCAUCUAAUCAUCUUGAACAAUAUAUAUAAUGCAAUACAAGAUCAGGAGGCUCUCCUAGACCUUUAUCAAUGCAACAAGACAAUGACAGUAGCUAAACAAAUCGCCUAGCACAAUACAAACAGAAACAAUUAAUCUAGGACAGGAACUAGACAAUACCAUGCUAGACAACUCCUAGAAAUAAUUUAAGAAACAGAGCAACACACACAAUUUAAGUAUCAUGGGACAGAAACUAGGUUCAACAACCCUAGCAACUUGAACCUGUCCCAAGGAUACCAAACAUACCACUCAACACAACCAGACAUAACUACUCAAGCUCUUAUUAAAGGUAGGAGGUUAACUUACAAACAAGGAACCUGAGCUGGUUCCUUGAACCUCCAAGGCACACUGUUCACUUGAACUUGACAGAUUUGGAGUUUGGGAUCUCUACCCCACGCCAUUUCCUUGUGUGUGCUUUCCCUUUAGACCACUCAUGCUUAAGACCCCUCCUUUCUUCCUGAUUACCAGGCGCCACCUUCUGGCACACAGUGAGAGACUCCAUUUUGGGAAGAACUUGAAAAUCACUUGUACAGACUUGGUUUGGAGCAUUGCUUGCCAAACAGCUCCAAAACCUUCUUUCUCCAAGAGAUCUCUUCAGGCUGAACAGGAGGAAGGAUGAUAGACCUUGGGAAGUCUCUGGACACGCCAUGUUUAGUCUUCUUCCUCUUGAAGAGAUUGAACAGCUGGCUGGACAGAAACUCUCCAAUGAUUUGAAAUAACAAUGAGGAUGAGCCUAUGCUUGAAUUAUGGAAGCUUUGAGUUUCAGAUACUAAGGACCUCCUUUAUCUUGAGUUCUGGUGAGUCUCUUCCCUCCUGGAAAAGCUUUAGACCAGAGGAUACAAGGAUGAACAGAAACAGAGAUUUUUGAAGAGAAGUAUGAACUGUAACAGAUUUGCGGAAGCUCUAUGGAAUCUCAGGAGCUUGGAGCUCUGAUACCAUGUGAGAAUAGACAGAUUAUGGUGUGUGAGUGUUGUUUAGAACAGAGAGUGGUCGAAUUGAAAGAGAACAGAGUGAAGAGAGUAAGUGAGAAUUAAAGAAACUGCAAUGGAGAAUAAGAGAGAUUAAGUGAGAUUUGAGAGAGUAUGAGAGAGAUUCUUGUAACCAGAGAUUAGGAGAGUAUAAGAGACUUGAGAAUGGUGAAGAAGAAAGGAGAAACUCUCCCAUUCAGCUUAAUUUCGUAAUGGUUACAAUGGGGUGGCUUUAUAGCCAGAUUACAAGUUGCAAGUGAUUAAACAAUUGUUAAAGUACAGAUUUACUAAACUAAUAUUAUUGUAGGGUUUCUGAUGGAGCCAGGAGGAUGCAGCCAAGGAGAAUCUCGACCAGAGGGAGUAGAGAGUGACAGGAGAGAGAGAUGGGCACAGUCUGGUUGGGUGAAAGUGACAGCAGGUUCAUCUCCUUAUGCACAUGUGACUUUUAUCUUAAUUAAUU
rnacentral:lncRNA from 1 species